rnacentral:rRNA from 1 species
AGAGUUUGAUCCUGGCUCAGGAUGAACGCUAGCGGCGUGCCUAAUACAUGCAAGUCGAACGGAGAGUUAGCAAUAACUCUUAGUGGCGAACGGGUGAGUAACGCGUUGGUGACCUACCCCAAAGUGUGGGAUAACAGACCGAAAGGUCUGCUAAUACCUCAUGUGGUCAAGAGAGUUGAAUAUCUUUUGUCUAAAGCAGCAAUGCGCUUUGGGAUGGGCCUGCGUCCCAUCAGCUAGUUGGUAGGGUAAUGGCCUACCAAGGCGACGACGGGUAGGGGACCUGAGAGGGUGACCCCCCACACUGGUACUGAAACACGGACCAGACACCUGCGGGUGGCAGCAGUAGGGAAUAUUGGUCAAUGGACGAAAGUCUGAACCAGCAACGCCGCGUGUGCGAUGAAGGCCCUCGGGUCGUAAAGCACUUUUCUGUGGGAAGAGAAAGGACGGUACCACAGGAAUAAGUCUCGGCUAACUACGUGCCAGCAGCCGCGGUAACACGUAGGAGGCGAGCGUUAUCCGGGUUUACUGGGCGUAAAGCGCGUGUAGGCGGUUCGGUAAGUUGGAUGUGAAAUCUCCUGGCUCAACUAGGAGAGGUCGUUCAAUACUGCCAGACUAGAGGACGGUAGAGGAAGGUAGAAUUCCCGGUGUAGUGGUGAAAUGCGUAGAUAUCGGGAGGAAUACCAGUGGCGAAGGCGGCCUUCUGGGCCGUUCCUGACGCUCAGACGCGAAAGCGUGGGUAGCGAACGGGAUUAGAAACCCCGGUAGUCCACGCUGUAAACGAUGCGGACUUGGUGUUGGUGGCGUAAAAACCAUCAGUGCCGAAGCUAACGCGUUAAGUCCGCCGCCUGGGGACUACGGUCGCAAGAUUAAAACUCAAAGGAAUUGACGGGGACCCGCACAAGCAGCGGAGCGUGUGGUUUAAUUCGAGGCUACGCGAAGAACCUUACCUGGGCUUGACAUAUAGGUGGUAGGGAUCCGAAAGGUGACCGACCCCUCGGGGAGCCUAUACAGGUGAUGCAUGGCUGUCGUCAGCUCGUGUCGUGAGAUGUCCGGUUAAGUCCGGUAACGAGCGCAACCCUUGCCGUAUGUUACACGUGUCAUGCGGAACUGCCGGUAUCAAGCCGGAGGAAGGUGGGGAUGACGUCAAGUCAGCAUGUCCUUUAUGUCCAGGGCUACACACACGCUACAAUGGUCGGUACAAUAGGUUGCAAAGCCGCGAGGUGGAGCCAAUCCUCAAAGCCGGCCUCAGUUCGGAUUGUAGGCUGCAACUCGCCUACACGAAGUUGGAGUUGCUAGUAACCGCGCGUCAGCACAGUGCGGUGAAUACGUUCCCGGGUCUUGUACACACCGCCCGUCACGUCAUGGGAGCUGGUAACACCUGAAGUCGGUAGCCUAACCUGCAAAGGAAGGCGCUGCCUAAGGUGGGGCUGGUGACUGGGACGAAGUCGUAACAAGGUAACC